rnacentral:tRNA from 1 species
UAAGGUUUAGUAUAUAUGAGUAUGUUUAGCUGUUAACUAAUUGGAUUAACCUUAG